rnacentral:rRNA from 1 species
GAACGCUGGCGGCAGGCCUAACACAUGCAAGUCGAGCGGAAACGAUCCUAGCUUGCUAGGAGGCGUCGAGCGGCGGACGGGUGAGUAACGCGUGAGAAUCUACCCAUGAGUGGGGGACAACCCGAGGAAACUCGGGCUAAUACCGCAUAAGCCCUACGGGGGAAAGCGGGGGAUCUUUGGACCUCGCGCUUUUGGAUGAGCCUAAGUCGGAUUAGCUUGAUGGUGAGGUAAAAGCUCACCAUGGCGACGAUCCGUAGCUGGUCUGAGAGGACGAUCAGCCACACUGGGACUGAGACACGGCCCAGACUCCUACGGGAGGCAGCAGUGGGGAAUAUUGCACAAUGGGCGCAAGCCUGAUGCAGCCAUGCCGCGUGUGUGAAGAAGGCCUUAGGGUUGUAAAGCACUUUCAGCAGUGAGGAAAGGGGUGUCGUUAAUAGCGCCAUCCUGUGACGUUAACUGCAGAAGAAGGACCGGCUAACUCCGUG